UUUUUAGUAGAGAUGGGGUUUCACCUUGUUGGCCAGGCUGGUCUUGAACUCCUGACCUCAAGUGAUAACGCCUGCCUCAGCCUCUCAAAGUGCUGGGAUUAUAGGUGGGAGCCACCAUGCCCAGCCCAAAGUUUUUUUGAUAGGAGUCCGCUUUCCCUUUCCUUGGAUUUAAGCUGGUCUUGGUGACUUAUGUGACCAGUAGAAUACAGAAGUGAUGUUCUGGGACUUGUGAGGCUAAGUCAUAAGAAGCCUUCUAGCUUCCAACAGGCCUCUUGGAAUACACAUUCGUGGAGUCGUGAGUCACCGAAUAAUAAGUCCAACUACCACGUGGCACUGAAACCACAUGGAGAGCUGCAAAUGAGAGAUGGGCCAGGGAGGCCCAGCUUUCUAGCCUUCCCUGCCAAGGGCAUGUGGGGAAGCCAUCUUGGACCCUCCAGAUGAGCCCAGUCAUCACCUGAAUAUCCCCAGGCAGCUCUGGUGGUACCUCAUGGGACAUCCCUUCAGAGUGGUUUCUUAAUUUUAUACUCUCUUUUUUCUUAUUUCUCCAUCAGAAUCAUCACUUUCCUAAGUGCUUUCUGGUAAGGUUGCAAAAUUGGAUAAGCUGUGACCCAUUCAAACUCUUUCACCUUCUCUUUUUCCACUUGAGAUUUUAGGAAAGAUGGAACGGGGCUGGAGCGCUUCUGAGCGUGUCUUUGCUUUGAGUUCUCUCCCUCAGAUCAUUCGGUCUUGGUGUCCCUUCAUCUGUUCCUUUGUCCAUGCCACCUUGUGCUUACUGGUUUCAGUUUUGUGUGUUUUCUGGAUAUUUUCAUGCUUUCCAUCCUUUUCCCGUGUUAGUAUUUUAGGGGAAAGUAUUUCACUGGGAAUUCUUUGAGGGAGCAGUCGGUGUUUGUGGUCUCUGAGGCCUCUGGUUUGUUCAGCCUGGUAUAUGUUUCUUUGUAAGACUCAGUUCCCUCUCAGGCACUAGAUAGUCCCAUUUUUUAGUAUCUUCUGUUUUCUCACGUUGUGAUCUCUUUUCCUCUUCCUCUAUUUUAGUUUCCCAUUUUGGAACCAUAUUGUAUUUCC
rnacentral:lncRNA from 1 species